AAUCAUUUUAAUUCAGAGGCUUCUAGGCUAAAUUUAAUGGCAGUUUCGAGUACAUUAACAUUUUGAUCACUUCAUGAGGUCUACUACUGAACCUGUUAGCUCAGACAAGAAGGAUAUUUUUAUCCCACUUGGAGUCAAAGAGAGAGUUCGCUAAGCCCUUAAAGAGUAGUUUCAUAACAAAAAAGGAAAGUGAGAAUAGAUCUAACUUAGUAUUAUGUUUUCUUACUCUUCCUGAAGUUCAUAAAAGAAAGAAAGAAGGCUCCUUAACCAUUAGCAAGUUCUUGUUGCAAUGUAUGUGCAUUAGUGCAAAGUGGUUCAACUUGAUGAUUGUUGCUCAUAUAAUUGACAAGGCAUUCUUAAAGGCUCAUAGAUGUUUGAUCAAAUUGUUUUCCCAUUUUCCCCAAAACCCAACAAAAUCUUUAUUCUAUAAAAUUCAAAUCAAACUAAACCUACUUAUAAUAGUUUCCAAAUUAAUUUUUAUUUAGUAUUUUUCUCAAAAGACUUCCCUUUAUUUACAAAUUGUCUACACAGUAUGGAUGUAACUAUAAAUUGUUCUCAUUAUAGAAGCACCCUUAAACUAUGGUGAAAUUGCCAAUCGGACCGUAUAUUGUCGUAGUCAGGCUUUAAAAUUUUCAUGCAAAACACUAGAGGUGCUAUUUAGGUGCAAAGGAUGAUAUAAUAUUAUUACCAGUUCAACGUUAUUCAGGAAUAUUAGGAUUUCCGCAAAUUUUAAGCUUCUUUUUUGGCGAAAAAAAAAGAAAAGAAAAGGGCACUAGUUUAAGGUUUCCUUUUAAAUACAUUUUUGAUUUUUUUUUCUGACAUUUAUUGAUGUCAAUGGACCCCUUGUAUCAAGAAAAUUGGAAUUCCCACUUCUACUCUCCAACCGUGUUAAAUUGGAGCCUAU